UACGUAGGGUCCAAGCGUUAUCCGGAAUUACUGGGCGUAAAGAGUUGCGUAGGUGGCAUAGUAAGCGAAUAGUGAAAGGCUACGGCUCAACCGUAGAUACAUUGUUCGAACUGCUAAGCUUGAGCAUGAAAGAGGUAGCUGGAAUUUCUAGUGUAGGAGUGAAAUCCGUAGAUAUUAGAAGGAACACCGAUGGCGUAGGCAGGCUACUGGUUCAUUGCUGACACUAAGGCACGAAAGCGUGGGGAGCGAACGGG
rnacentral:rRNA from 1 species